rnacentral:rRNA from 1 species
AUUGAACGCUGGCGGCAGGCCUAACACAUGCAAGUCGAACGAGCGGCGGACGGGUGAGUACUUUCUGGCUAACUGCCCGACGGAGGGGGAUAACUACUGGAAACGCUAGCUAAUACCGCAUACCAUCGGAUGUGCCCAGGUGGGAUUAGCUAGUAGGUGGGGUAACGGCUCACCAAGGCGACGAUCCCUAGCUGGUCUGAGAGGAUGACCAGCCAAACUGGAACUGAGAAACGGUCCAGACUCCUACGGGAGGCAGCAGUGGGGAAUAUUGCACAAUGGGCGAAAGCCUGAUGCAGCCAUGCCGCGUGUGUGAAGAAGGCCUUCGGGUUGUAAAGUACUUUCAGCGAGGAGGCGUUACUCGCAGAAGAAGCACCGGCUAACUCCGUGCCAGCAGCCGCGGUAAUAC